GUGGGUCUUGAACAGGCCCAGAGGCGCAAUGAAAGUGAAGGAUGCCCGUGCCGGCAUCUGCGUUGGGAUCCCGGGACCCAGGUCCCGGGCGCACCAACGGCCCGUCCCGCCCGCCUCGUCGGGGGGACGGAGCGAGAGCGUACACGUUGGGACCCGAAAGAUGGUGAACUAUGCCUGGGCAGGACGAGGCCAGAGGAAACUCUGGUGGAGGUCCGCAGCGAUUCUGACGUGCAAAUCGAUCGUCAGACCUUGGUAUAGGGGCGAUNGACUANUCNANCCGUCUAGUAGCU
rnacentral:rRNA from 1 species